GGUAGGUCCAAGUGCAGUGGUGUUUACAAUUAAUUGCUCACAACCAGUUACAGAUUUCUUGCUCCUUCUCCACUGCCACUGGUUUUUCUGACUAACAUUUA
ensembl:misc_RNA Y_RNA Y RNA